rnacentral:lncRNA from 1 species
GCAUUGUAGAGCUUUUUAAUUCAACAUAUUUAUUAGUUUCAUCAUAUGAAUUACUUCAUCGUAGUGAAUUUCCGGAACUUCUCUCGUUUUUCUUUUGUUCAAUCGAUAGCAGAUGUGCGAACGGGUUCCCAUCUUCUUAUUCACGUAUAAACCUCAGAAAUACACCGAUUACGUACACCAAUUCCGAGAUUACACCAAUCAAUCACAAAAAAAAUUUACUCUGUGAUGGAAAAGAAGCUAGGCAGCCGCUAGGCUAUAUCAGCCAGAUGAUGUUCAAGCUGUUUUGUGGUGUUGUUCAAUGUGCAGGAAUUUGCGACCUCUCACGUUGAUGCGAAAGAAAACAUUAGAAGACCCUAUACGAUGUUGUUCUUCCAUUUGGUGACAGCAGCCCAAAAAUGACGCUGAUGGACAUGAACUAAAAAAAAAAAUGUAACGCAAGCAAAAGCACACGUACAUGUCCGUUAUGCUGGCGGGAGAAUUUUUACCUACCAAAACCAAUCACGAUUUGCCUACUGCCUAAUUCAUUGGAGCUCUUUAUGUUCCCAUAUUUGAUCGGUUAUUAUUGAGGUCGUUUCAUCGUCGCCGUUCGUCGCUCUGAAUAGGAAGAAAACGACAAAAGGUGGCAAAUAGAUACAAGUUCCCAUUACUAACCGCGUUUCGACGAAAAAGGCUCGACGUUUUGCUGCUGUUAUCAACGAAAUAAGAUGGUACUCCCUCCGACGAUUCGCUUCUCCACACUUUCACGUUUGCUGUUGUCUUGUGCCCUACUGAGUUUAGUCAUCAGUUCAUCUCCUCCUGCUGACGAUGGAAUUUUUCACAAAGGACUGAAGGAUUGCAAUUCGAGCCAUAUCUCAUGUGAAAGGAAAACGGCAGCUUGACCGGAAGAGUUAGUGUGUGACCAACUUAAGAUAAGGCAACAAAGGAAAGCAAUCGGGUCAAAGAGUUUAGACCUAGGACAUCUACUACACUGAAAUCUGCACGGGAAAAGAUGGCAUCAGAAUAUGCAAUUCUUCUCGCUCCAUCAGUGUGCUACCGCUGGACAUGCCUGUGGUUCCCACGACUUGUCAUUUGCGUAAAUCUUUUGUCUGGAUGACCGAAUCCGAAUCCCACAUGAACAACUCUCACGUAGCCGUGGACAGAUUCUACCGUAAUGUAACCCAGUGCGCCUGUCUCAUGUAGUUGGAUGGUACCAUAUGUUGCAGUAGCUGUUAAACUGGAUUCCCUCAUCAGAACAAGUCGCUAGGCAUAAAUGGUUUGGUUUACAUGUUGCAUCAGGAAUUUCAAUAUCCACGUUGAAAGGAUUUUUUGUUACAAGAAAAUUUAAUUCUGUGAGUUAAUCACCAUCAUUUCAUUCACCACAAAUAAAACUGCAAGUAUAGGCUAUUUUUCUUCAUCUUUAUUGGCACUGCUUACCGAAUCCAGUGGGAAGUGAACUCGAGCAUUCAGUGUCUGACACACCCAACCUGAACCACUGCUGAAGGCCUAAAUAUAUCACUGUUGAAGACAAAUUGUGGCCACUGGAUAUAUCGACGUUGGUUCCGGUGACUGCGGGAUCGUCAGCAAGCAGCCAAGGGUUCACCGGACAUAAAAAUAGAGUUUGAUAACUUUAAAAUCUUUUGACUCUGCUGAUACACAAGCCAACAAUCUUCUAUAACACGAGCCACAAGAUUAUUGGCUCGUCAUCGUUCUAUCUAUACAAACAAUUAAUCAGCACGAUAAAAUACUGCAUAUCACUAUAGCGAUGGCACAGGUAUGCUGUAACUCUUCAAUGGCCGAAGUUUAAAUUCAGCAUUCAACGGUUUGUUACAUAGAAACCCUAAAACUUUUGACAGGAUAAAUUUGUGUCAUCCACUGCUUCGUGAAAAUGUGUUUGAGUGAAACACUGUUCAAAUGUUGACUUUGUUUCCUUUAACUGAUAUUAGUUAUAGAAUCGAUUUGAAUCAAAGCGCUACCGUUCCGACAUCGAUACUGUAUCGAGGCCGUUCUCUGCGGCAAUAAAUGUUCCAAAGUUGGAAACACAACUUUAAAUUUUUCUAACAUGACAUGUCUCGACUUAACUACAUGCAGCUAGCGUUAUUUUUGCAGCCCACGGGAUAGAUUGCCAUUACGUUGACGACUGGAGCGUCUUUCCAGGUCCUGUUUGCGACCUUUCGGUUUUGUUUAUUGUCAAUGUGAAUGGUCGUUUGAAGAUUUGCCAGGUUCCAGAGAUCUGCUAAAAGAGGGCUACCGUCUUUCUUUCGGUUUCAUCGGUUUCUUUUCAUCAAUCCAAUGAACAACACUGAAAUUCAGACUUCAAUGAAGAAUCUUGGCAGCAAUUCAGUCUAAACUGUGACAAAAUUAUAUUUUACACACAGACAUGGGAACAGUGGGAGACAACAAGAAGGUGCAGUCGGACAUGUGAAAGGAGUAAGAAUUGAACACGGGACAUUUGGAAUCAGCAAACAGUUGCCACAACCAUUACAUCAUUUUCAUUCUUCCAUUUUGGGCGAUCUAAGGACUCGAAACUAUUUUUAAAUGGAUACCUGUCUGCUUGUAUCACUUACGCCGGAGUCCCGUGUUCAAAUUCCUGGCGUAGGCUGUUGUAGAUUCCUUCAGACGUGUUGGUGUGGGAGAUUCGUUCAGGGAGACGUUCUGGAGAAUAUUUUCAAAAAAAAAGUGGUUCGAAAUGGAAGAUUUAUUCAUUCAUCGAAGAAACGA